UGUAAUUCCUAUGAGGAAGCCAUAGGGAUAGCAGUCAAUAUGGGGUCAGACGUGACCAGUGAGACAGAGGUUUUACUGAGAGACGACAAGGUAUUGAAUAAAUGGGACAUUCCGAGAGAAAGAUAAAAUGGAUGUACCUGUGAGUUUCUCAGCAAUAGGUUUGAACUCCUCCGGACUGAGAUAAAGGUCAUGGUCGGUAUCUAA